GGGAGGUCAUAAGCGCUGGUGAGGCAGUUAAUGUUGCUAAUUUGCUAACUGGACAUGAUGUGCUUAUCCAACUGCCUUCUGCAGAGCUAUGCUUAUGCACACAGUGCAGUGCUGCUGGUAUGCGUGCGUCAAUAAGAUCACGUGAUGAGACUUACUGGUUCGAAAGCUUUCUUCGUGCAGAGAUCACCGAUGAGUGAAGAGAUUCACUGAGGGAAAUGCUCAGCCAUAGCUGAAACAUCUACACCUCCCCUGCCAUGCUCAGAGAACAUCAUGGAAGUCGACAGAGCAGAAAUGUGUCUGAGGAGGGUUCUUUGGUGGAUCCCCCACAACAGAAGGAAGCACAGAAGAGAAAGAUAGUCACUAUGAAAGGAAGGGGAGCAAGAAAGGGUAAUAAAGGAUGCAUAUGUCUGAAAUAAA